UACGGGGGGGGCAAGCGUUGUUCGGAAUUACUGGGCGUAAAGGGCGCGUAGGCGGUCAGAUAAGUCAGCUGUGAAAACCUCGGGCUUAACCCGAGGCCUGCAGUUGAAACUGUUUGGCUGGAGUGUGGGAGAGGAGAGUGGAAUUCCCGGUGUAGCGGUGAAAUGCGUAGAUAUCGAGAGGAACACCUGCGGCGAAGGCGGGUUGCUGGGCUGACACUGACGCUGAUGCGCGAAAGCCAGGGGAGCGAACGGG
rnacentral:rRNA from 1 species